GCAUCCGUAGCUCAGCUGGAUAGAGUACUCGGCUACGAACCGACGCGGUCGGAGGUUCGAAUCCUCCCGGAUGCU
rnacentral:tRNA from 1 species